CUACGAAAGGUGCAAGCGUUGUUCGGAUUUACAGGGCGUAAAGAGAGUGUAGGUUGUUUAUUAAGUCGGAUGUGAAAUCCCGGGGCUCAACCUCGGAACUGCAUUCGAUACUGGUAGACUAGAGUUCGGGAGGGGUAAGCGGAAUUCCGUGUGUAGCAGUGAAAUGCGUAGAUAUACGGAGGAACACCUGAGGUGAAGGCGGCUUACUGGACCGAUACUGACACUGAGACUCGAAAGCGUGGGUAGCAAACAGGAUUAGAAACCCUAGUAGUCC
rnacentral:rRNA from 1 species